CACCCCCUCACACCCUCCUCAGCUCCAUUGCACCCACUCCCAGCCCCACAUAUCUCCCCCCAGCCCCACAGGGACACCAAGGCGCAACUCCGCAGCCCAUGGCACAGCCGGUCCAUGGGACCCCCGCACCCCUCCAACGCCCGGCGCUCACCCGGGGGCCGCGGGGAAACUGAGGCACGUCCCAGACCGCCCGGUACUCACGGGGGGGGGCCCAGGGGGGCGCGGGAGGGGGCGCGGGGCUCUUGGCGAAGAUGCCGCUGAUGAACUUGAGCAUCUUGCGGUCGCGGGUGGAGGCUCGGCCGCCUUCGCGCCCCCGUUUGAGCCCCGUCUCGGUACCAGCGGCACCGGGGGGGGCAGCGGGAGCCGGGACCGGAGCCAACCCCCCCGCUACCGGGGGCAGGUCGCUGUAAUCCAGGGUCUUGCUUUUGCCUUUGUGCGGGGAGAACCGACCCCGUCCCGACGGCCGCGGCCCCACCUCGGGUCCCACUUUGCCCCCCCCGGCUUUGGGCCGCCCCUUGCCCUCGCCCUCGGGCCACGAGAGGCGGCUGCCCCCGGCCCCGCUCCCGGUCGCCUUCAGGGGCCCUUUGGUCGCCUUCAGGGGGUCCCCGGGGGUCACCACUUUAAACGGCUUCGUCCCGGUCAAGCGGAGCCGGCGGGGCCCGGCCGAGGGGUGCGGGGAGGACACGGGGUGCGGGGGGGGUUUGGCCACCUCCGGGGUCACCUCGGGGCACCCCCAUGUUGCCUGGGCCAGCAGCGGGGGGCGCGGGGUCGCCAGGGCGGGGGGGGUGCGGCCCCGCUCCCCUGUUGCCUCCAAGGUGCCCUUGGACACCCCUCGGGGAGGGGGGUCGGGUUUUGGGGGUACGGCGGGGGGGAGGGAGGCCGCGGGGGGUUUCGGGGGUACGGCGGGGGGCAGCGGGAGCGAAGCCGGGUCCGGUUUGGGGGGGACAAGCGGGGGUUGUGGGGGGGGAAGAGACGCCGGGUCGGGCUUGGGGGGUACAACCGGGGGGGGGGGCAGCAGGGUCGGGUCGGGUUUUGGGGGUACGACGGGGGGGGUGGAGGUGGGAGAACGGGGCCGGCGGGAGGCGGCGGCGGCGGCGGGGCGGG
rnacentral:lncRNA from 1 species